AGUGAACGCUGGCGGUAGGCCUAACACAUGCAAGUCGAACGGCAGCACAGUAAGAGCUUGCUCUUACGGGUGGCGAGUGGCGGACGGGUGAGGAAUACAUCGGAAUCUACUUUUUCGUGGGGGAUAACGUAGGGAAACUUACGCUAAUACCGCAUACGACCUACGGGUGAAAGCAGGGGAUCUUCGGACCUUGCGCGAUUGAAUGGGCCGAUGUCGGAUUAGCUAGUUGGCGGGGUAAAGGCCCACCAAGGCGACGAUCCGUAGAUGGUCUGAGAGGAUGAACAGCCACACUGGAACUGAGACACGGUCCAGACUCCUACGGGAGGCAGCAGUGGGGAAUAUUGGACAAUGGGCGCAAGCCUGAUCCAGCCAUACCGCGUGGGUGAAGAAGGCCUUCGGGUUGUAAAGCCCUUUUGUUGGGAAAGAAAAGCAGCAGGUUAAUACCCCGCUGUUCUGACGGUACCCAAAGAAUAAGCACCGGCUAACUUCAUG
rnacentral:rRNA from 1 species